GCCGGAGUGGCGGAAUGGCAGACGCGUCGGAUUCAAAAUCCGAUUCUCGCAAGGGAGUGGGGGUUCGAGUCCCCCCUCCGGCA
rnacentral:tRNA from 1 species